GCAGCUGUUUGAGAGAUAUUCUCCUCUGCAGACUCACCCAGCCAGCAGCAUCAUGAAGGUGUUCGUUGCCCUGUUCGCUACCCUGGCGUGCGCCAGCGCCGGCCUGGUCGUGCCGGCCACCACCGUCCUGCGGGCGCCCGC